GUCCUACGGGAGGCAGCAGUGGGGAAUAUUGCACAAUGGGGGAAACCCUGAUGCAGCGACGCCGCGUGAGUGAAGAAGUAAUUCGUUACGUAAAGCUCUAUCAGCAGGGAAGAAAAUGACGGUACCUGAGUAAGAAGCCCCGGCUAACUACGUGCCAGCGGCCGCGGUAAUACGUAUGGUGCAAGCGUUAUCCGGAUUUACUGGGUGUAAAGGGAGCGCAGGCGGUGCGGCAAGUCUGAUGUGAAAGCCCGGGGCUCAACCCCGGGACUGCAUUGGAAACUACCGAACUAGAGUGUCGGAGAGGG
rnacentral:rRNA from 1 species